GCCGGCGCUCGCACGGCCGCCGAAGUAUGCGCCAUGAUUUGGGCGACGAAGUUGGCCACGACUGGCGACACUCGAAGAGGGAGAGGUCCAAGAUCGCCGUGUCACGAGGUUCUGCAACCCGCGAGACGAGGCCGCGCGGAUCGUGGACUGCGGCAGCGGGGCGCUCAAUCAUUGUGUAUAUCCAGAUUAGCAAGAAGCCAACAACAGGGGAUUGUAUAAGUCUAAACGGCCGCCUGCGCCUCUUCGCUCCUCCACCAUGGGGUAAUCAAUCACUCAAAACUCACAGAUAACAAUUAUAUUAAGAUGUGUCUCUGUGUUAUCAUACAAUUCUACCACUACAUUGGACGAUGAUGAGAUGAUUGGGCUGAAGGCUUGGCACCAUAUUUAUUGCCAGACAAGAUAAGUUAUCCACAUUACUUCCUGCCUGGUCUCCUUGGAAUAUAGGAAGUAUGUGUACUUUCUAUACUAUGAGCAUACGUUCUCUGAAUCAAAUAUGUACCACUGCAUUUUCAGCCAUGCAUGUGAAUGCUUAGGAAGACACAACUAAAUAGUUCAGUUUUGUUGUUGUUCAAUUCUAUUCAAUGGAUGCAGACCCACACAUAAAUUCAAUUUUUAUUACUGACACUUCUCUACAGGGAAUGCUUUCCAUUAAUAUUUCUCCUUGAUAAUUAAUUUUCCCCUUGGCAUCCAUCCACCUGAUGGAAUCUGAUAAAUUGAUCUUGACUACCAAUCAGUCAGAUGUAAUCGAUGAAGGACAUGGCAUUAGCAGGAGACAACAGACUGUGCGAACGCCAUCAAAGCAGAAGAUAGGUGGAUUGUUGAAAAAGAUUGGUGGUCUGCGAUUCACUUUUGGACAUGAGGACAUCCGUGUGAGCAUCUUCAACCUGCUCUUUUUAUCAGCUCACAACGCAAGGUUUAUGUCUGUCUGAUUACUCAAGUUGCGGCCAUGCGUUAUAUUAGGAUUAAACAAAUAACAAAAAGUUAAAUACUCAGAGGUUGACUCUGCCAUGAAUUUCUAGCCUCUCACUGCAAAUGUGAUAAAAUUUGUACUGCAUUACAUGCAUAAAAAUAGAGCCACCAUGUGAACCAUGUAGUUCUUUUCUAAAGACUACUUUUAUUGUUUU